CCUCAUUAGCCUCCGAGGCGUCGAGACGCGAGAGGUGUGAUUGGUACUACGUCAGGCGGUAUCCGGGGACGCCCAAUCAUCACUGAAACUUGCGGCAGCGCAAUCGAAGCUCGAGGCGAUGAGGAAAUGAAGACCGAGGGAAGCUAUCUCUUGAGUGCGCCAUGCAGCUGGCGAAGGGUGGAGCAGGGCUUCAAAUGCAGACCUUUCCAACUCCACUGUCCCUGCUCUCCUGCGUGCCCUUUCCUGCCUUUUCUCAAUGGAGACCAUCAGAUCAAGAAAAAAGAUUUUCUUCUCCACGGCAACUGAAGUGUUGACUUUGACAGUGAAAGCUACAGAGUGUAUGAUGUUUCCCUUUUUGCCUUGCUUGCCGGGAAGCUUGUGCUUUUUGUCAAACUGCUUACUUCUCCUUUCCAUGGUUUUGGUCUUCUACCUUUGACAGCCUUUUAUUCAUGAGUCUUACUGUAAGCUGUUCUACUCAUAGAAUAAGCUGAAUAAAUAGAAAUUGAAUUGAAUGGAAAAGGAUGGGUUACAAAUUACAAGUAAAUAAUUCAUUUUAUAUUUAAUUUAAUUUAUUUAUUUACUUUUGAGAUGGAAUAUUGCUGUCACCCAGGCUGGAGUGCAAUGUCGUGAUCUCACUGCAACCUCCGCCUCCUGAGUUUAAGUGAUUCUCCCGCCUCAGCCUCCCAAGUAGCUGGGAUUACAGGUGCCCACGCCUGGCUAAUUUUUGUAUUUUUAGUAGAGAUGGGGUUUCACCAUGUUGGCCAGGCUGGUCUCGAACUCCUGACCUCAGGUGAUCCAUCCGCUUUGGCCUCCCAAGUGCUGGGAUUACAGAUGUGAGCCACUGUGCCCAGCCUGCAAGUAAAUAAUUCAAAUAAAAUCAUGAGCUUCAGGAAAGAAAAAUGCCUUUCUUAUAUCGGGCCAUUGCCACAGUGUUUAGCCCUGAGCCCUGGUUCUGGCUGGGUGAAGUUUGCAUGGAAAGCCCAGUGGUGAUUUUCCCUGUUGUGUCUGGAUCAGUGGCUCUCCUUGCACCUAGAAUAUAACCCAAAGGUCUUCCCUUUGGAUUAGAGCAACAGUCCCCAACCUUUUUGGCGCCAGGGAUCAGUUUCAUGGAAGACAAUUUUUCCACAUACUGGGUGGGAAACUGUUUCUCCUCACAUCAUCAGGCAUUAGUUAGAGUCUCAUAAGGAACCGGCAACCUAGAUCUCUCUCAUGCACAGUUCACAGUAGGACUCAUCCUCCUGUGAGUAUCUAAUGCUGCCGCUGAUGUGACAGGAGGUGGAGCUCAGGUGGUAAUGCUCCAUCACCCGCUGCUCACCUCCUGCUGUGCGGCCCUGGUCCAAGGCCCAGGGAUUGGGGACCCCGGGAUUAGAGGACUGACCCCUGCUCACCUCUUCCACCUUAUCUUGUGUCACUUGUCCCCUUGCUCACCCAGGAUAACUACUGGAGUCAUCUUUGAGAUGUUCUCACAAGCCAGGUUCUUUCCCUGCUUCAGAAAAGAGGCUUUGUGGCUGGGCGUGGUGGCUCACACCUGUAAUCCCAGCACUUUGGGAGGCCGAGGCAGGCGAACCACCUGAGGUCAGGAGUUCGAGACCAGCCUGACCAACAUAGAGAAACCCGGUCUUUACUAAAAAUACAAAAUUAGCUGGGAGUAGUGGCACAAGCCUGUAAUACCAGCUACUCGGGGAGGCUGAGGCAGGAGAAUCACUUGAACCCGGGAGGCAGAGGUGGUGGUGAGCUGAGAUCAUGCCAUUGCACUCCAGCCUGGGCAACAAGAGCAAAAACUACGUCUCAAAAAAAAAAAAAAAAAAAAAAAAGAAAAAGAGGCUUUGCAUGUGCCGUUCCCUCUGCCUGGAGCCCUCUGCUCUCUCCCAUCCCCUGCUUCUGCCUGGCUCAUCCUUCCUACGCUUCAAAUUUCUGCUGAAAGUCAGCAUCUUAGGGAGGCCUCCCCUGACUGCUCUGUUUAAAGGGGUUGUAGUAGCCGGUCUGCAAAGACAACUCCCAGUGCUUCCUGGCCUCUCCUGUGUAUGCUGCUAUUCCCAUCAAGAAAUAGACUCUAUUUCUCCUCCUCCUGGAAGUGGGCUGGGCCUUGGGCCUGGCUUUGGCCAAUGGAAUGUGGCAGAGGUAAUUUACUGAGGCUUCCGAGGUGAGGCCUUCAGAUGACUGGCAGCUUCUCCUUCCUGCCACCUGGAACCCAGCUGGUAUGCUGUGGGAAGCCCAUAUCACAUAGAGAGACACAGCGGGAGAAAUGGGGUGUUCAGCUCAAUAGCCCAGUUGAACCCCCAGCCAACAGUCAGCAUGGACUCCAGCCAUGUGCAUGAGCCAGCCUGGCUGCUGCAGCCCAGGUGAGCCCCUGAAUGACUGCAGGCCCAGCUAACAUCAUACGGAACAGAAGAACCACCCAACGGAGCCCACAGAACUGUGGGAGACAAUAAAAUGGUAUUGCUGUUUUAAGCCACUAAAUUUCCAGUCAUCUAAAGAGAGGUUAAUCCCUGAUAAAUUUCUCUCUUUCUCUCUCUCUCUCUUUUUUUUUUUUAGAGAGACAGAUUCUCACUACGUUGCCCAGGCUGGAGUGCAGUGACUAUUCACAAGUGCAAUCGUAGUGCACUGCAGCCUCGAACUCCUAGUCUCAAGCAUCCCUCCUGCCUCAGCCUCCUGGGUAGCUGAUAUUCUAAAAAUCAUUGCCCCAAUGCACUUACUUCAUAGCAUUCACAAUAAUCUAUAAUUAUAUAAUUAUUUGAUUCUUAACUUGCUAGUUUUCCCUUUUUUCUUUUUCUUUUCUUUUUUUUUUGAGACAGUCUCGCUCUGUUGCCCAGGCUGGAGUGCAGUGGCAUGGUCUUGGCUCACUGCAAUCUCCACCUCUUGCAUUCAAGCAAUUUUCCUGCCUCAGCCUCCCGAGUAGCUGGGAUUACAGGCAUGUGCCAUCAUGCCCGGCUAAUUUUUUAGUAGAGAUGGGGUUUCACCACAUUGGCCAGGCUGGUUUCGAACUCCUGACUUCAUGAUCCAUCUGCCUCAGCCUCCCAAAGUACUGGAAUUACAGGCGUGAGCCACCGCACCUGGCCAAUUUUCCCUUUCUUCCUGUAGCACAUGAGUUACAGAAGGCUGGGACCAUGUUUGUCUUGAUUGCAGCUAUCCCCAGCAUUAAGCACAGUGAAUGGCAUGUGGUGGGAGCUGAAUGAAUGAAUGAAUGAAUGAAUGAAUGCAAGGCAUCGGAGUGGUCUUGAAGUGUUCCUAAGAGCCAGUGUAAGUCUCUGUGGCUGCAGCCCAGGCUGAUAUAGCACCAGAAAGGAGAUGGGUAUGGCCUAAGUCUCAGUUCUCUGGGGCUUUCAGGACUCAGAACUGUACAACAUUCCCUGACACCACCUCUAUAACCCACACCUCCACACCCCUGCCAGGAAGAAUCACCCUUUUCCUUCUCCUUGCCCUUCUGUGUCCUGUACAGCUCUCCAUUAGGGGACCCGAGAGGUCUCCGUGCAUGCUCGUGUGUAUAGAUGAUGGAAGCAGGACAGAAUAAUGGGUAUGAAUGAGGGCUCUGGAUCCAGAGACCCCCACCUUUGAACCCCAGUCCACCACAUUCUAAGGAUAUCUUGGUGCCAUGGCUACAGAUAUUGAGUGUUCACUCACAUAGGAAGUGCUGUGUAAGUGUGAGCUUACAUUACAAUUUCCAUGUGCCAGGCACUACUCUAACGUCUUGAAUUCAUUUACUUCAUACAAUCUUAUAAGGUGGUUGCUAUUAUCAUUCCCCUCUUACAGAUGAGGCAACUGAUGUGUGGAUAAUUUGCCCAAAGUUGCGUAUCUGAACCCCGCCAAUGUGGCUACAGAGCCCACCUUCUUCUUUUUUUUUGAGACAGGGUCUCUCUCUGUUGCCCAGGUUGGAGCGCAGUGAUGCAAUCAUGGCUCACUGCAGCCUUGAACUCCUGGGCUCAAGUGACUCUUCCAUCUCAUCCUCCCAAGUAGCUAGGACUGAAGGCGUGCACCACCAUGCCCAGCUAAUUUUUGUAUUUUUUGUAGAGACAGGGUUUCACCAUGUUGCCCAGCCUGGUCUCAAACUCCUGAGCUGGCGCGAUCCACCCAGCUUGGCCUCCUAAAGUUCUGGGACUACAGCCGUGAGCCACUGUGCCUGGUCCAGAGCCCACCUUCUUAACCCUCAUACUGCCUCUCUCGUUCUCAAGGUAGAACCCUUGUUCUGCCUCUCUGAGCCUCAGUUUUCAUACCUAUAAAUGGGGUAAUAAUGCCUGUUUAAUAGGGCUAUGAUACCAUGAUCUGGCAGUGCCUGACACAUUGUAGAAUCUCAAUAAAUCCCAGUUUGCUGUGGCAAGAUAGGUGAACAGACUUCCAACCAAGGAGGGCUUUGAAGCUUUACUGUGAGGGUGCUAGAGAACCACUGAAAGUUUUCAAGUAAGACAAUGACAUAAUGAAGCUGUGGCUUAGCUCCAGUCCUACCUUUUCCCGCCUCUGUCCCCGCUCCAAUUAGCUCUAUGCUGCCUGAGGUUGGUAUCUGAGUUUCACAUCCCUGUCUUACCUCCCCGUGAGGUGCUGAGAUUUGAACUGUUUCAGGAUCGUGACAGUUCAUCCCGGGCCUGGAAUGAAUGGGGUGGGAGGGAUGUUCUUGGUCUUGUGGGACUCAUCUCAAAGGGCUGCCUCAGAGAUCCCAUCUAGGGCCCCAUUUCUGUCUCCACCUCCAGCCCUACUGACUGAGAGAGGUGCCUGGGUUUCGUAUGACUGACUUCGUAUUCCCCUUGGAAUCCCUUCUGCAGCCUAGUGGAUGAGGUGAGACAGAGGCUGGUAACUCGGUGGAAGAGAGAGGAGGGAGAAAAAACAAGGGAGCCAGAACAGGAGAGAGUGGGAGACAGGGGGACAGAGAGAGAGAGUGGUGGAGAGAGGGUGAGCCAGAGUGAGGGAAAGAUGGGCUCACUGCUUCAGGGCGGGGCGCACCUGGUGACAAAAAUGGGCCACCUGACCUUGUGCUGUGUUCCCUUGUUCUGACAGAUAUGGUGAGGCCAUCUGACCUUGUGCUGUGUUCCCUUGUUCUGAUGGAUGUUGUGAGUCUGUGUGGGAGCACACGCAUGCACAUGUGGUUUGUGUGUCCACAUAGAUGCGAGCGUCUGUGACACAGCAUGCACCCCGUCUGCUGGCCUGUGCAUGGAAGUGCACAGAUGGGUCUCCAGGGACCUAGGGACUAAGCAUGUGGAGAACCACGUGCAGUGGCCUGUGUACGUCCUCAGCCCCAGCAUCACCUCCUCCAUGUGCCUCGCCCCCUAUUCGUUCACCCUCCUCCCCCUGUGAUGGCAUUAUCACCUUUCUUGGUCAGUCUCUGCUUACCUGUCCCUGUCUCUGCCUCUAUUGAGAGCUUCCUGCAGGAAAGUCCACUUCCUUGUCAUCCCUGUACUCUUGGCAGCAAGAUCAAGGCUUGCUGGGGCAGGUGAUCAAUAAAUGCUGAUGACUGAUUGAGUAUAUUUGUGUGAAUGGAUCUGCUUCCAGAAGCGUGUGUGGGUGUGUAUGUGUGUGUGUGCAUGCACAUGUGCACACAUGGAAACAUGUAUGUGACCAUACACACAUGCACAUGCACUGUGGGGUGUGGAUGUGUCUCUGAGAUGUCCAUGAAUGAGCCUCUGGGCACACACCAUGCCCACAGAUUGAUGCAGUGAUAUGCUGGCAAAUGUUUAACAACCAGCUCUUCAUUGAAAAAAAAAAUGCUGUGGGGCCGGGCGAAGCAGCUCACCCUGUAAUCCCAGCACUUUGGGAGUCUAAGGCGGGCGGAUCAUGAGGUCAAGAGAUUGAGACCAUCCUGGCCAACAUGGUGAAACCCCAUCUCUACUAAAAAUACAAAAAUCAGCUGGGUGUGGUGGCGCACACCUGUGGUCCCAGCUACUUGGGAGGCUGAGGCGGGAGAAUCACUUGAACCUGGGAGGCGGAGGUAGCAGUGAGCCAAGAUCGCAUCACUGCACUCCAGCUUGGUGACAGAGUGAGACUCUGUCUCAAAAAAAAAAAAAAAAGAAAAGAAAAGUAAAAAUAAGCCCUGAUUAGCAGCAUUUGCCCAUUGCUGUAGUGUAAAUGUUCCCACCAUGGCCGACUUCAAGUUGCUGCUGUGGCGUCAUGGAAUAUGGAGUUAGCUGGGAAGAGAUGCACAUAACUGGCUCACAUGAACCCACAGGAGUGGGCUUCAGUACAUGGAAGUAUUCAUGUCUGUGACUGCCCAGCCCAUGAUGGGCAGGGGAGGCAGUGCAAAGUUCCCCUGGUGAUGGUAAUGCUUCUUUCCAGAGCUGUGCCCUGGGGGAGCAGGCAGUUGGUGGCUGCCAGCCAGCUUUCACCAAGCGGCUUUAGAAGUCAGUCUAAACCAAUACUCCUUGUUAGGCAGGUCUAGACGCUCACCAACACAGCAGCACCUUCCCUCACUCCCUACAGAGGCUUUGAAGUUUUUGGAUUUGGUGAAGUCAGCAUGACCGCAAGGAGGAAUUGCUAAGCCUGAAGCAUGAAUGGAAGAGGGGGAAGGAGGAACGCUUCAAACCUCCAUCCGAGGCAGGUGGCCAGGGAUGCUGGAAGGUCUGGAGGCCCUGGGCCUUGUGCCUGCUUGAAGCCGCUUCACUGUGUAAGCCUGGACACAUCGCUUGCCCUUGCUGGCCUCCACCUGUGACUUUCUUCCAUGAAGGGAGAGGUCUUCUGAGCUCCGUGGCCUCUAUCUGACCCUCUGGGAGUUGGUCCUUAAACUGCACUCUGAGUGUUAAAAUCUACAUUCAAAAGGCAGAGGGAGGCUGUGUUGGCCUUAAACAAGAGCAAGAGGGGACCCUGCCCUGGCCCUCCUCAGACCAGGCCCUUUCCCACGUGGUGAGGAAUUCACAGGCCAAGGCGAUGUGCUCACCCCAAGCCCUACCCUUUUCUAGACACUCGUCUGAUGCCUGCUACUGUAGAAUUUCUGCUCCAAGAGUCCUGCCGUGCUGGCUUCCAGGGCUGGCUGCCAUCUGUCCUCCUGAGGACCCGUGUCCUCCUGCCUUAAGCAGUGGUUUUGGGAAAGCUGGGUGUGCAGGCUGGGAUGUGUGCCCACUUUGUGGGAGAUGCCCUGAACGUGCUGAGUGGAGCUGGAAGUGGGAAAGGAGGAGGGGUGGGUCAUGGGCAGGGAGCUGUGGUCUUGGGUUCCAGGGUGGGCUUGCCCCAUGCUGCUACUUUGAGGAGCAGAAUGCAGAGGAGGUUGAGAAUUCUAAAUUCAAACCUAACAUUUUAGUUUGUCACAAGGACAUAUUUGCCAGGACAGAGGAUAGACCAUAUUUUUAAAUUUUAUUUUAUUUUAUUUUAAUUUUUUUUGAGAUAGAGUCUUGCUCUGUCACCCAGGCUGGAGUGCAGUGGCGCGAUCUCGGCUCACUGUAACCUCUGCCUCCCGGGUUCAAGCAAUUCUCUGCCUCAGUCUACCGAGUAACUGGGAUUGCAGGCGCCCACCACCACGCUCGGCUAAUUUUUGUGUUUUUAGUAGAGAUGGGAUUUCAUCAUCUCGGCCAGGCCGGUCUUGAACUCCUGACCUCGUGAUCCACCUUCCUCGGCCUCCCAAAGUGCUGGGAUUACAGGCGUGAGCCACCGCGCCUGGCUGAUAGACCAUUUUUUAAGGUCGUUAGUUCGAUGUGCAGCUGUUAAAUCUUCAGACUUAAGUUAUGGAGAGUGAGCCUCCCUUUCUACUCUUGCCCUGGACCCCACAAGUGUUAGGGGUGAGCCUGGAGAGAGAGAUAAUUGAGAUUGGUGGGGGCUUGGUGGUGUGGCCCCAGCAGACUGAGGCUGAGUUGAACAGGGAGUUUUGAACAUUGGACCCUUCUAGAGUAGACUUUUCCGGGCCACGUCGUCCAGGGCUUACCUUCUCUUAGGUCUGUGCGGCGUGUAGGUGUCAUCUGCUUGCCAUCUCCUUUCUCUGGAGCCCCAGGAGAGCUGUACAAUGAGUAUGCUUCCCCCCACAUCUUAGAUAGCACUGUUAUCUUAGACAGCUGUUUUGGGGCAUGACAGGUCAUCCUUCCAAUGGGGCCUUUCUCUGAUGUCAAAGGUCAAAUCCUCCUGUUAGCAUUCCAUCUUGUCUUUCUCAUCUCUUCAAGUUAAGAGAGUCCCAGGGACCCUCCCCAUUCUUGUGCCACUCCAUGGCUUUUCUCUUCCUGAGGAGCACCCCUCUGCAGGGACCCCCCUGAGUAAACUGGUAGGGUCAUGUCCAUUCCAAACUGCACAAUUUCACGGGGGAAAAUGGAAACCCUGGAGUGUAAUUGGGAUGUUGAGUGGGGCUGCUUUAUUCUAAAAGAGAAAACUCAAGGACGUCAUGCUCUCUGUCUUCAAAUAUCUGAGGGGCUGUCAUGCUGAAAAGGGAAGGGAUUUAUUCAGUGUUGUUGGAGUGUGAAGGAAGAGGUGGAUUAAAAUUCAGUGUGCAGAGAAGACUUUUGCCAAAGAGUGCUGCUUAGCACUGGCUGGUGCUAUCUUUGGAGGGGGUGAGCCCGCUGUCACUGGAGGCGUGCAAGUAUCCCUAAAGGAUAUUUAACAGGGAACUCAUGAUCUAGAGAGUGGGGGGACACCCUACUGUACAGCAUCUAAACCUCUCAUCCCCAAUAAUCUGUAGCUUUAGGAUUGUUUUAAAUAGGAUGCCAGGAGUUGGGAAAGG